GUGAUCAUGCCUAACACAUGCAAGUCGAACGGCAGCACAGAGGAGCUUGCUCCUUGGGUGGCGAGUGGCGGACGGGUGAGGAAUACAUCGGAAUCUACUCUGUCGUGGGGGAUAACGUAGUGGAAACUUACGCUAAUACCUGCAUACGACCUACGGGUGAAAGCAGGGGAUCUUCGGACCUUGCGCGAUUGAAUGAGCCGAUGUCGGAUUAGCUAGUUGGCGGGGUAAAGGCCCACCAAGGCGACGAUCCGUAGCUGGUCUGAGAGGAUGAUCAGCCACUCUGGAACUGAGACACGGUCCAGACUCCUACGGGAGGCAGCAGUGGGGAAUAUUGGACAAUGGGCGCAAGCCUGAUCCAGCCAUACCGCGUGGGUGAAGAAGGCCUUCGGGUCGUAAAGCCCUUUUGUUGGGAAAAGAAAUCCCAGCUGGGCUAAUUACCCCGGGUUGGGGAAUUGACNUCGUAACCCCAAGAAAUUAAAGCCACCGGGCUUAACUUUCCGUUGGCCAGCAAGCCCGCGGGUAAUACGAAAGGGUUGCCAGGCCGUUUACUUCGGAAUU
rnacentral:rRNA from 1 species